rnacentral:rRNA from 1 species
AGUGAACGCUGGCGGUAUGCCUAACACAUGCAAGUCGAACGGCAGCACAGUAAGAGCUUGCUCUUACGGGUGGCGAGUGGCGGACGGGUGAGGAAUACAUCGGAAUCUACUUUUUCGUGGGGGAUAACGUAGGGAAACUUACGCUAAUACCGCAUACGACCUACGGGUGAAAGCAGGGGAGCUUCGGACCUUGCGCGAUUGAAUGAGCCGAUGUCGGAUUAGCUAGUUGGCGGGGUAAAGGCCCACCAAGGCGACGAUCCGUAGCUGGUCUGAGAGGAUGAUCAGCCACACUGGAACUGAGACACGGUCCAGACUCCUACGGGAGGCAGCCGUGGGGAAUAUUGGACAAUGGGCGCAAGCCUGAUCCAGCCAUACCGCGUGCGUGAAGAAGGCCUUCGGGUUGUAAAGCCCUUUUGUUGGGAAAGAAAAGCAGCAGGUUAAUACCCCGCUGUUCUGACGGUACCCAAAGAAUAAGCACCGGCUAACUUCGUG